ACACCAGUAUUCCGCGUGACGACGCGCCUUUCCUACUGCUUUUGCUUUUCCUGAAUUAUGCAUAUCAAUCAUUGCUGCUUUCACUUACUUUUCUACCAUAUUUCUCUUCUGCUUUACCCAAAACUCUGUUGAAUCUCACCUUCUUUCAUGGCUUCUUCUUUGUUUGACAUCGACACCGACACCGCCUUGAGAUUGUUACUAUCCUGCGCUGAAGCUAUUGAAGAUGGGGAUCUGAAAAGCGCCGAUGCGUACCUUCAGAACAUCUUGAUUCUUGCUGAUGAGAGACCCUACCUAUAUAAAAGCAGAGUGGUGAAAUACUUUGCGGACGCUCUGGUUCGCCGAGCCUACGGACUGCAUCCCGCUUCUUCCUACUUCACUUUCCCGGUGGAUCCUUCACCAUAUUAUCAUUGUGGCAGCUACCUUAUUAAUGGCGUCAUAGAAAAUGUCAUCCAUGAUGCUUUAAUGGAAAAGAAUGCUUUGAUGGGAAACAGGAAAUUGCACCUUAUUGAUUUCUCCAUCCCGUAUUCCAGUUUUCAGAAUUCAGUUGUUCGUACACUACCGACCUUCUCCGGCGAUCCUCUACCCGUCCGUGUAAGUUACAUACUUCCACCGUUUCUGAAAAAAUAUGUAAAGUUCUUACGCCAAAUGGAGUUUUUGACUAGGGAUGCCAAGGAAGUUAAUGUAAAGUUGGAGGAUGAGUUGAAACUGGUUUAUGGCAAUAGUUUGGCAGAAGUGGAUGAAUGUGAAAUAGAUUUGAAAAGAAGAAGAGAUGAUGAAAUGGUGGUGGUUUACUAUAAAUUUAAACUUGAUAAGUUGGUAAGAGAUGCAAAAGCAAUGGAGAGAGAGUUGGUAAGAUUGAAGGAGAUAAAUCCAACGAUUGUAAUCAUGCUAGACUUUUAUUCUAAUCAUACCCACUCCAACUUCUUGACAUGUUUCAAGGAUUCAUUUCAGUAUUCCUUGAAGACUCUUGAUUGCUGGGAGGAGUUGGACCUUUAUUUUGAUGAGGAGUAUGAGUGGGAGUGCCACAUAGAGGCAUGGGAAGGUAAUAAUGUAAUUAGGCGGCACCCAACUUUGACAGAAUGGCAACAUCUCUUUUCAAUGGCUGGCUUUAGUCGAAUUCCAUUAAACCACAGGGAAGGUAUUGACCUUAUUGUUAAGGAUGUAAAUCCCCUAAAUGACUUUUUUUCAAUGUCGAAUCAAAGUUGGCUAGAAAUAAUGGGGAAGGAAGAAGAAUGUUUGAUUUUAGGUUACAAGGAAUUUCCAAUGUUUUUCUUGUCGGCAUGGAAACCCAAAGUUGAAGAAGAGCACUUAAAUUUCAAUUCCAGCAACGAUAAGUUUGGACAAGGUUUCAAUCCAUAUCCAUCACCUCUUCGGCCUCUUCGACCAUUUCCGGAGGGUUUGACAUUGAGUCGAGUAGCUGCCGUUGCUGAGAUAUAUGACAUACUAAACCAUUUAUAUUGUGAACAUAAGUUUUCAUUGGCUUUAACAUGGGUUUCUAAAGUUGACAAUAUGAAUGAAACUAUGUCGGAUCCAAACAAGAAAUAUACUUUUUCAAUUCAAAGUAAUUCUUGUUAUUCGAAAGAUUUGAACUCUUAUAAAUUUAUGCGUUCAUGUGAAUAUAAGAUUGAGCAAACCAUUAUUGAGAAAGCACUUGAAUCAAAGGACGGCUACCAUUUUGAGCCAUCUCUUACUAAGUCUGACAUAGACGACUACAUGUAUCUCCAACGUGCAAAGAAUUGUGACGUAGAUGUUGUUGUUGCAAUCUGUCUACAAAAUCGGUACACAAGUAAUGAUGUUUAUGUAGUAGAAUUUUAUUGGCCUUCAACUGAGAGUGAAAUAUCAAAAUCUUUUACUCCUCGUAUCUUCAAUGACUUGAAACAUAUGGAGAAAAAGUUUGUAACAGUAAAGGUUCAAGGCACCGAACAAGCUAUUUCAAACAUUCCAACAUCUUCGUACACAGCAAGGCCCUUGAAAAUAGCUGAAGAAACAGAGGACGUUGAUGCAGUAGAAAUAAAUGGGGUUAAUGUCCAGAUUUUUCCCAAUGGUGACCCUGAGAUUGUAAAAGCAAAUAAGGAGGAAUCCUCAAAAGCUACACAGAGAGAGUUGAGGUCUAAGGUUUGGGAUCACUUUGAUAGGUUUGAAGAAGAUGAAAAACAAGUAGCCAAAUGCAAACAUUGCCCCAAGGUGCUUACGGGAUCAAGCAAGAGUGGGACCACACACUUGAAUAACCACUUGAAAGUAUGUCCUGGUAAGAAGAAACAAAAUCAAGAAAGCCAGUUGAUACUUCCAGUUGAUACCAAUGAAGGAAGCUUGAGGUUUGAUAAAAAAAGGAGUCUCAUGGAUCUUGCGAAAAUGAUGAUUAAGCUUCAAUGUCCUUUGGAUAUGGCUGAACAAGAGACCUUUAAGAAUUUUGUGAAAGGUUUGCAACCCAUGUUUGAGUUUCAAUCCAAAGAUAUUUUAUCUUAUAUACAUCGCAUUUAUGACGAAGAGAAGGAGAAACUUCAGCUGUAUUUUGAUAAGCUUGCUGGUAAAUUCAAUCUGACAGUGAGUUUGCUGAAGAACAAUUCUGGAAAGACUAUAUAUUGCUGUUUGAUAUCACAUUUUAUUGAUGAUGGUUGGGAACUAAAGAGGAAGAUUCUUGCCUUGAAAACUUUGGAGCAUAUCAAUGACACAAAGGCUUUAGGCGAAAUUAUUCGGAGCUUGGUUUUGGAGUGGAAUAUAAGCAACAAAGUAUGCUCCAUAACUGUGGAUAACUCUUUUUUGAAUGACAGUAUGGUUGAUCAAAUAAAAGAAAUUUGUCUUAGUGACCAGGGCUCUGUUUCUUCAGAUCAUUGGUUCAUCAGUUUCACACUUCUUGAGGAUGGGUUCCGUGAAAUGGAUGGCAUACUUUUUAAGUUAAGGAAGUCCAUUGAAUAUGUCACUGAAACAAGACAUGGAAAAUUGAAAUUCCAAGAAGCUGUAGAUCAAGUGAAGCUACAAGGUGGGAAAUUAUGGGAUGAUCUUUCUUUCAGGCUGGAAUCAGACUUUGACAUUCUUUAUAGUGCUUUGAGAUCAAGAGAAAUCUUUUGUAAACUGGAGCAAAUUGAUGACAAUUUUAAACUAAACCCAACAAUGGAGGAAUGGGAGAAUGCAGUAGCUCUACAGAGUUGUUUGAAAUGCUUUGAUGAUAUCAAAGGAACUCAAUGCCUUCCUGUAAGUUUGUACCUUCCAAAGCUUUGUGACACAUACAAGAAAUUUCUUCAGUUGGAAAAAAGCAGUCAUUCAUUUGUUACAUUGAUGAAGAGGAAAUUCGACCGCUAUUGGAGCUUAUGCAAUUUGGCAUUAGCUGUUGCAUCUGUUCUUGAUCCAAGGUUAAAAUUUAAAAUUGUGGAGCUCUCAUACAGGGUGAUUUAUGGCCAUGACAGUAAGAUGCGAUUGAACAUGUUUCAUAAAGUUCUUCGGGAUGUCUACUAUGAAUAUGCCAGUGAAGCCAAAAGUCUAACAUCAUCUGCUUCAGUCUUGGAUGAUUUCAAUUGUUCAACAAUAGGGCUUGGAAAUGAUAGUAUUUUGGACUCCUUGAGUAAAUUUGCAUCUGCAAGCAACUUCAAUGAGGAGGCCUCAUGGAAGUUAGAGCUUGAGCUUUACCUAGAUGAACCUUUACUUCCCAUGGAUGGAGCAUUCUUUGACAUACUUGGUUGGUGGUGUGAUAAAUCUCAAAGGUUUCCAAUACUUGCAAAGAUGGCUCAAGAUUUCCUUGCAAUUCCGGUAUCAAUUUCCACAUCAUGUUCAAAUAUUAGUGCCAUGAUCAAUAAUCCAGCCUACAGUACCUUGAAUCCUGAGAGCAUGGAAGCUUUGGUAUGCAGUGAAAACUGGUUGGAAACUCCAAAAGAAACAUUCUCAUUUCAUAGGAUAAAAGGAAAAGGAAGAUGGAUGAUAAGGACUCUUAUUCGGUAAAAAAUGCCAGACUUUAGUCUAUCUUUUGACAAUUGGAUGGAGCUACAAUUUUCUUCUUCAGAGUGUAUUGGUGAAAAAGCAGAGAUCAUGAAAGCUUUGGUUUGCAAUGACAAUAGGUUGGAAUCAUCGAUAGGAAAACCUGAUGAAAAAAAUGUUGAUGACGUAAUUGAAAUUUGGAACUAUGAUCUAUUGUUCGAUAAUAAUCAAUCGGAAGAGGUUCAGAGUUCAUCUUCCGAGUCUGAAGAUGAAACAACAUUGAAGGAGGAAGGACCAUGGUGUGAACAGACUCAGUUGAUACAAGGAUCCAGAUCAGAACUUGAAGUACUAAUUUGGUUUAAAGCUGAGAAGCUAAGAGGUGUACAUAAAGUAAGCUCUUUGAUUUUUUUAUUUUCUUUUAGCUUAUAAUUAAGAUUUAAAUUGUGUUGGUGAAUGCAAACGAUAAAUUGUUUUCAAUUACGAUACAAUAGAGAAAAUCAAACCGAACAUAUAAAAUGUUAUUUAAAUCCUUAAUCGUAGCUAACAAGAACAGAUGUAAUAUUCUGUUGUUUCUUUUUGUGAUUGAAAUUGUUUUUAUCAUUGUGCUUAUCACCACAUUGGGUUCGUUUCUAUGUUGAUAUCAAGGAAAAAAAAGUUUUCAUGGUUGGAUCCAGAUCCAUCUUCUCCAAUACUAUCCUACCAUUUUGAGAACCAUGUUAAAGCAUUAUUACAAUGGUUCACAAGCUUUUUACUCCCAAAGCUUGGUUAUAGUGAUGCAAAUGAAUGGCCAUUUGUAGUGCGUAAUAAUAUCCCAAAGCAAAAAAAGCAAGUAUUAUUCUUUAUCUACAGCUUUGCAACCUUUUAUUUACUUGUUAACUUACAAAUUUGUCCUUUUCUUUUGUACUGCAACAUAAAGCUCUGUUGAUUGUGGGGUUUGUGACGAAAUAUGGUGAUUGUCUUACGCAUGGUGAUUGCUUUCCUUUUAAACAAGCAGAUAUGGUUCAUUUUCGUCGCUGUAUCUUUCUUGAUAUAUACCGUAGAAGAUUACAUAGAAAAAAAUAAACAAUGAUUGAUGUCUUAUUUAGGACUCAAAGUUUGGAUUCGAAUUUUUAAAAUUUGACGGAAAUUAUUGUUAUAUUUUUUUCUUUACUUCUUUUAUGCAUGUAUGAUGCUUUCACUCUCGGAUCUAUGUUUAUUUCUAUGUAAAAAGGAAAACAAUUUUCAUAUUAAUUAAUUAAUUAU